ensembl:lncRNA
ACAAGACUCAGUGCCUGGCGACAAAGCCAAUGGGACAGUGUACGGUUGCACUCACUGAACAAAUGUUUGGUGCUUCCUUUGGGAUAAUGCUUUUUGGCGUUUACUGAUCACCUUUUCUUCAAGACAAAAGGAGGCUAAUUCUGCUUUGAACUACGUGGGAACAUUUCAAAGCGGGAUGAUUUCAAAAAAAACUUCCUUCGUGUUGAGAAUUUAGGAGAACUUACGUCUGGAUUUCAAUCUCUUUGAAGGUAAUAUUGUGCCAGAUUUUCAUUGCGUCCCAUUUUAUACCAGUGCCGUGUCUGACAGCAUGUUAGAUUGUUGCGUUCAGCUGGAUUUGGAGCUCUUUGUUCCAGGUAUACGCUGUAGAAGCUGUUUCUGCUGACACUGCAGUGCCCCAUUGUUUUUUUUUUCCAAAGCAGCCCUGGUUUUGAACCAAAACAGCCUCUAACAAAGCACCUGAUCUAUGGGUAAGCUUCAAGCUCACUGAGCAACACCACAUAGCAUGGCUGGCUCUAAGUAGCACUCUGCCCCCAAACUGUUCCUGUUUCUUUAAAAAGCAGAAGAGAGACAAAGAAAAGAAUAUAGUUGUUUCCUUCCUUCCUUGCUUCCUUGCUUCCUUGCUUCCUUCCUUCCUUCCUUCCUUCCUUCCUCCCUUCCUCCCUUCCUCCCUUCCUCCCUUCCUCCCUUCCUCCCUUCUUUCCUUUAAAUUUGAAUCUUUAAAUUUGAAAGCUUUGGUGUGCUUGGUUUUAAUCCAAAUCAACCUUUUUGUUGACAGCCCUUGUUCUGAGCCAGAUCAAAAAUAUGCUAUUUGGAGUCCUUCCCAUCGCCACUUGCUCCCUUGCCAGCCCAGCGCAGGAAGAUGCUAAUAAUAAAUAAACCAAAAGGCACAUUAAACUCAGUAGCUCAGAGGGACCCAUUAGUCAGAACCACAGACGAAGGGCCAGUUUUCUGGCACUGCAGUCAAGCUCUACCAAACCCUUCAUCUCGAGCUGUGUAACGGUGCUCAGAUCGAUCAGUGCUGAGCAAAUGCUUGCAGGCGGAUGGGCUGGUGGUGGGGGUGAGCAGUGGUCAUGCUAAACCUGCUUUUUAAUCAUUGCUUCCCUGAUAUCACAUCUUUUCCUGGCCUGCUGACAGGUGCACAAUUAACAAGGUGUCACAAGGGGAGAAGGAGAAAGACUGAAGUUAAACAUCAAGCCCACGUACAUACCUGCCUAGAGAGCUGCAUUUUUCCUUAGGGCGGAUGUGCCUUGUGAAAAACUGUUUUCUUUUGCAAGCACACUGUUCCUCCUCAUAGAACUCUCCUUUACUUUGUCCUUCCUGAUACCUUUUGACAGUUGACAUAUGUGGGAUGGAGCUGAUCCCAGAGACGUGGCAUUUUGAUUUCUGCUUCUGAGGCUGCUCUGUAACUGCUGGGCUGCUACAUGGAAGGUAUCUGCCAGCACCUCUUCAAGGAGAGGAGCCCCACUGUGCCAUUCACUCUGUGCUUCCUGUGCACUGUCGAUAUGCCUGAGCCUGCCUCCUGAUAAUGCUACUCAGGGGCUCAUAUCCUGCAGGGAUCUGCAUUCCGAUGACCUCCUGGAUGCCUGCAAGACUGUGACAGAAGGGAAUUCCUCCCUGGCAAGGAUGAGACCAAAGAUGGGUGGUGGGUGCACGGAAGUCCAUCACAUGACUGAGCCAUAACUUCUGGUGCAGAACAAAAGCAAACCCCCUACAUGUGUCCCAGGUCAGGUGACGUGCCUAGGACUUUCCUUUCCAAAGGAAAAUCAAAGUCUACAAGCAAAGUACGUGCUAGUCCAUGUACUUCCCAUCAAUCAUGCUGUGAGGAGUCGUAAAAAAAACUAUUUCCUUAUUCCUGACCUGGAGCCAAAGACCUGGAGCAUGUGGUUUGAUUAUCGCCACUGUUGUAAAGUGGUGCUCAGCCUGCUGUGAGUCAGCUCUGAAGAAGGGCUCAUCACGGGGCACAGAGGGUUGCAGUAUCCUGGAGCUGUGUGGCACCCCUGGAUGUGUCUCUGGAAAAGCCCAGAAGGGAAGAAGAGAAACACAGCCCAAGACCUUAUGGCUAAUGAGUCAUAGGAUCACAGAACCAUAGAACGAUUUGGGUUGGAAGGGACCUCCAAGCCCACGCUGCCCUAACCCGAGCCAUGGGCAGGGCUGCCGCCCACCAGCUCAGGCUGCCCAGGGCCUCAUCCAACCUGGCCUUGAGCGCCUCCAGGGAUGGGGCACCACAGCUUCCCUGGGCAGCUGUGCCAACGCCUCACCACCCUCCUAGGAAAUAUUUUCCUAAUAUCUAAUCUGAAUCUCCCCUUUUAGUUUGGAAUUGUUACUUCUUGUUCUGUCACGAGGAAGCCAAUUCUCUGCACCACAUCCAGGACCUUGCAGCCUCCUGCGCUGCUGGAUGCUCACCAGGUACAGCCCUUGUCUACUACAUAAGAAGACUGCAGAGAAAAAAAAAUUGGACAGUUUAUUCAAAAGAAAAUCAAGAGGCAUCUUGAUCACAGCCUGUAUCUGCUAAUUGAGGGAUAAAAAGCAGGAUGGAGUUCCCAGCCAACAAAACACAGCAAGAAACAGGGCAAAAAAAGCUCCAUGCUUUGGAUGGUUAGCAGCUUAUCAGCAGGAGGAAAAGGUUUUUGUGUUAGUGAGGCUUUAAACCAAGUCAGAAUUCCUGUCAGAGAUGGGCUGUGUCUCUGAGUGAGACACAGGCUGAGUGCAGGCAGUGGCCAUGAGUGGUGUCCUUGGUCAGGUCCCACCCAGGGACAUGCGAGCAAAAGGCACAGCUGCAGGUUCUAUCAGCCGUUGGUCCUGGAGCAGCAGGAACAAAGGAUGAGGGUAGAUUAGAUGGGAGGUCUUACAUGGAGUGAAAGUAAAAGUGAAAGUCCAUACCUCUGCAAUGUCUCAGUGAGCAAGGACUGCUGUACAUGUAAAAGGCCAAGUCCAGCGUGCACUGGAGUUAGAUUUUGGCUCUCAAAAGUUCUUCUCAAGAAGCUAUGAGACAUCAUGACGUACUGAAAUUAUUAGACAGCAAAAAUUUAGCUAGCAAAAAUUGUUAGUGAUAAGUAUUAAGGGAAAUCCGAACCGUUAGCCUUUGUACCUCUGAAUACAUCUCUAUUCACAUACCACUAGCUUGCUUUCUUACACAUAGUGGGUGGAUGCUGGUACGAGGCACGCAUAAGCAAAACGGAUCUGAAGAACACUAUAUCCAUUGUGAAGAGAAAUUAAAGAAGCUUUCGAAGGGCUAUCAGUUUACUGAAGCAGUUCAGUUUUUUGCCUUUUCUCAGUAAAUAGUUUUUUAUCCUCUCACAGCUUACACUUACUCCAGAAUGUAGAGGGUGAACUUCAGACUUUUCCCUCCAAAGGAAAUGGUUACGAGAACUUAUAUGUCAAAGAGUUUCACGUCAUGGUUGUUUUGUCUUUGGGCUUUUUGUAAGUGGCUUCUUGUUGUGCUGUGGUGUGCUGCAGCCGAGGUUCACUGAUCCGGGCCCAAACUGCUGUGUAAAACAAAGGAAGCAACUGGAUAAGUAUAACCUUUUGGGUCAUACUAAUGGUGUGCAUCUGCUUUUGGAACGGGAGUCUUGCUUUCCACAAACCCCCUUUAAUGUGCACUUCAAUGGCUGGGAGAACUCCUUGAGAGCAGCCCUGCGGAGAAGGACUUGGGGGCUCUGGUGGGUGAGAAGCUGGACGUGAGCCAGCAGUGUGUGCUUGCAGCUCGGAAGGCCAACUGUGUUCUGAGCUGCAUCAACAAGAAGGGUGGGCAGCAGGGAGAGGGAGGUGAUUGUGCUCCUCUGCUCUGCCUUCGUGAGGCCCCAUCUGGAGUACUGCGUCCAAGCCUGGGGCCCCCAGCACAAGAAGGAGUGGAGCUGUUGGAGAGGGUCCAGAGGAGGGCAUGAAGAUGCUCAGAGGGCUGGAGCACCUCUCCUGUAAAGACAGGCUGAGGGAGCUGGGCUUGUUUAGUCUGGAGAAGAGAAGGAUGCAGGGAGAUUUCACUGUGGCCUUCCCAUUACUUGAGGGGAGCAUAUAAAUAGGAGGGAAACUGACUUUUUACGUGGUCUGAUAGUGAUAGGACAAGGGGGAAUGGCUUUAAACUAAAAGGGGGAAAUCUAGGUUAGAUCUUAUGAGGAAAUUCCUUACUCAGAGGGCGGUGAGGCGCUGACACAGCUGCCCAGGGAAGCUGUGGUGCCCCAUCCCUGGAGGCGCUCA